UACCGAGGGUGCAAGCGUUAAUCGGAAUUACUGGGCGUAAAGCGUGCGUAGACGGUUAUUUAAGUCAGGUGUGAAAGCCCCGGGCUCAACCUGGGAAUUGCAUUUGAGACUGAAUAGCUAGGGUGCGGAAGAGGGAAGCGGAAUUUCCGGUGUAGCGGUGAAAUGCGUAGAUAUCGGAAGGAACACCAGUGGCGAAAGCGGCUUCCUGGUCCAGCACCGACGUUCAGGCACGAAAGCGUGGGGAGCAAACAGG
rnacentral:rRNA from 1 species